AUCCUUUAAGUAAGGGCUCUCCCACUCCUACCACGCGCCCCACAAGCGCGUUCCCCCAGCAUAUUCCUCUGCACAUACCGAAUCUAGCAACUUCUCGCUCGCUCUCUCUCCCUCUGAGUCUCAACUGCCCUUUGCCUUGCCGCUUUCCUAGGCUCCACAAAACAAAACAAAACAAAACUGAAUCUCUCUCUCUCUAAAGUGUGUGUUCUGUCAUUGUUUCGUUUGUUUGAUUAUAACACCCUUUUCUUGCAAAACCACUUCUGCGAAAACAUCCUUAAUAUCUGUUACGAAACUUGGUUCCUGGUUUCCCGGCAGCUCCCAAAGUGGUAUUGCUGGAGCCCCAGAUGGACAAAGAGCCUCUGCUACCGUAUCUAAGCCCAAGAAGAAAACCAACACCACCACCAUCGGUGCUAGCGCCACUCCCUGAAGAAAACGAGAUCUCUCUCCCUCUAACCCCUUCUGAGCUCAAAGACCGCCUCAUUUUUGGCCCUUCAUCUUCCCCACAAGAAUCCUCCCCUAUAGUCGAUGCCUUGACCCUUUCUCUCAGCUCCCCAAGACCCUCUCCUUCUUCUUCUUCAUCUUCUUUAGACCCCACUACCCCACAAGACUCUCAAUCACAAUCUUCACAGGCUUGGCUCAUCGACCCCAAUUAUCCUUCAUGGAACAGGACCAAUCUCCACCGUUCCAAAACAGCGCCGGCUAUGGCUGUUAUCAACGAAAUUAACAACCCUUCUUUGCCUAGACCACCAGUCGGGUCUCAUUCGAUUGUGGGCCAAGCGUGUAUUCUUCUUAUAUUGUAUUUAUCCUUGGGAGUGGUUAUAUAUUGGUUUAACAAGGACAAUUUCUCGGCGAAUGAGACGCACCCAGUUGUGGAUGCUCUGUAUUUUUGCAUUGUGACAAUGUGCACGAUUGGUUAUGGUGAUAUUACGCCGGCUAGCACAGCAACCAAGUUGUUUUCCAUAAUGUUUGUGUUGGUGGGGUUUGGUUUUAUUGAUAUUCUGCUCACUGGGAUGGUGAGCUAUGUGCUUGAUUUGCAGGAGAGUUAUUUGUUGAGGACUGUGAAGGGGAAGGUUGAGCAGGAUACGGCGAGGUCGUAUAUAGUAGAUGUGAAGAAGGGUAGGAUGAGGAUUAGGAUGAAAGUGGGAUUGGCAUUGGGGGUUGUGGUUCUUUGUAUUGGGGUUGGUGUUUGUGUAAUGCAUUUUGUGGAGAGGCUUGGGUGGUUGGAUUCGUUUUAUCUUUCGGUUAUGUCAGUUACGACAGUUGGGUAUGGUGACCGGGCCUUUCAGUCCUUGCCGGGAAGGAUUUUUGCUUCCAUUUGGUUGCUUGUAUCAACACUCGCGGUUGCUCGAGCGUUUCUGUAUUUGGCCGAGGCGAGAGUGGAUAAGCGGCAUAGGAGGAUGGCGAAGUGGAUUCUUGGUCAUAAUAUGACUGUCUCCGAGUUUCUUGCUGCUGACAUUGACAACAAUGGCUUUGUCAGUAAAUCAGAAUACGUAAUAUACAAGCUCAAGGAGAUGGGAAAGGUAUCAGAGAAAGAUAUUAUGCAGAUCUGCAACAAAUUUGAUAGACUAGACACUGGAAACUGUGGAAAGAUAACUCUUGCUGAUCUCAUGGAGAAUUAUCAUUGAUACACAAGAACAGCAGAUGAAGCAUGAUUGAUACAAGUGCGUGAAAAACUCCCGUGGUUUUGUUGCCCACUUGAUUGUACCGACCAGUUUAGACGAUGAAGGUCACUGAAUGUUCCAACUUGCUCUUACCCAUCAUGAUAUGUGUGGUAGAUCAGGAGUUUCAAUACGCGGAACAAUUUACUGCUGGAAGGUUCAGAUGGAGAGAAGGGGUCAUUGUGGUAGGGUGGGAGCGAAUCUUAGUGUUUAUUAGUGGUGACACAAACUGAAAAUGGUUUGACUGCUGACAAAGAUACGACCGGAGUUGAUUCAUGUUCUCUUUUCAGAGCACUUGAAAGCUAGUAAUCAUUCUGCUUGUGAUACUUGUAAGUACAAGCACCUCUCUUUUUUCCCCUCCCUCUCUCUCAAUAAGCAUUCACAUUUGUCUCAGCAAAUGUUUAGCUAAGAUUUAGUUAAAGAACAACUUUUUCUAUUUUAGGUACCCACUUUUUCAAAGCAUCUACAUCCGACUCAGCAUUUUAACUAUUCACUUUCACUAUUCCAUUUGAAAUAUUUUUUCUUUGUCUAUUUUCACUUUUCCAAAAGAGGAAGAGAGAAACAAAUUGAUUUUUCUAUUUUUUUUUUUUUUCAUGCAUUGUUAAGCUACGUUGCUCAACAAAUUUGCUGAGCACUGUAGUAGCUAGCUAAUUCCUUAGCCAAAGUGGCUUGCCAGAUGUCAAGGUUUUUUUGCUAUAGAACUGGCCAAAAUAACCUUUUGUAGCCCAAUGUUAAUGCUCUAAAGAGAGUUUUUUUUUUUUCU